AGGUUAACCUAUGAUGAGCGCUUGUCGGCACUGGAGUUGCACUUGCUGGAGUUUCGAAGACUGAGGGGGGACCUCUUUGAAACAUACAGAAUAGUGAAAGGCUUGGAUAGAGUGGAUGUGGAGAAGAUGUUUCCACUAGUGGGAGAGUCUAG